rnacentral:lncRNA from 1 species
UAGUAAGCUUGUGCUCUUCUUUAGCUGUCUCGAAUCUUAUCUUCGUUGUCGGGAUGCAAUCAUACAUAAAAGUACUGGCUGUUUGUAAGGCAAUGGCUGCUCUGUUACACUACUUCCUUUUAACAUCUCUCAUGUGGAUGUCUUUCGAGGCUAUUCAUGUCUUCAUGUGCAUAGUUAUGAUAUUCAGAACAUAUCAGACAUCUUUUAUGAAGUGGAGUUCAAUUUUGGCCUGGGGCCUUCCAGCUGUCAUUGUUCUAAUUACCCUGGUAAUUAACUACACAGACAAUUACAUCAAAACUGG